CCGAACCGUUCCUACAAGAUACCGGCACGAUAUAGAUCUCGUGCCGAUGGCAUAGCUCAAAACCCUCUAUUCUUUAAUUUAGCAAGUAAUUUGCUCAAUAAAGUUCAAAAGAUGUGAUAAAAAGAUAUAAUAAAUAGUUAGAAUAUUUUGUUGCUAAAGAAAAUAAAUAUUUCAUGCUAUUAUGUGUCGGCACAUAAGAAUUUUUUUGACCGACACGCAUCGGCACGAUUCAGCACACACCAUGCUGUACCGUGCCAGUAAGUUUCCAGCACGACCCGUGCCACGGCACUCAAAUAAAGUAUCUAAAAAAUACAACAAAAGAACAAUAAUUUUUUUU
rnacentral:lncRNA from 1 species